UACGUAGGGGGCAAGCGUUGUCCGGAUUUAUUGGGCGUAAAGAGCUCGUAGGUGGUUCGGUAAGUCGGAUGUGAAAUCUCCAGGCUCAACCUGGAGGGGUCAUUCGAUACUGCCGUGACUAGAGUUCGGUAGGGGAGUGUGGAAUUCCUGGUGGAGCGGUGAAAUGCGCAGAUAUCAGGAGGAACACCUAUGGCGAAGGCAGCUCGCUGGGACGGUACUGACGCUGAGGCGCGAAAGCGUGGGGAGCGAACAGG
rnacentral:rRNA from 1 species